rnacentral:rRNA from 1 species
AGUGAACGCUGGCGGUAGGCCUAACACAUGCAAGUCGAACGGCAGCACAGUAAGAGCUUGCUCUUACGGGUGGCGAGUGGCGGACGGGUGAGGAAUACAUCGGAAUCUACUUUUUCGUGGGGGAUAACGUAGGGAAACUUACGCUAAUACCGCAUACGACCUACGGGUGAAAGCAGGGGAUCUUCGGACCUUGCGCGAUUGAAUGAGCCGAUGUCGGAUUAGCUAGUUGGCGGGGUAAAGGCCCACCAAGGCGACGAUCCGUAACUGGUCUGAGAGGAUGAUCAGCCACACUGGAACUGAGACACGGUCCAGACUCCUACGGGAGGCAGCAGUGGGGAAUAUUGGACAAUGGGCGCAAGCCUGAUCCAGCCAUACCGCGUGGGUGAAGAAGGCCUUCGGGUUGUAAAGCCCUUUUGUUGGGAAAGAAAAGCAGCAGGUUAAUACCCCGCUGUUCCGACGGUACCCAAAGAAUAAGCACCGGCUAACUUCGUG